rnacentral:misc_RNA from 1 species
CGGACUUUGUUUCGGUGCGAUCGGAUCGGUAGUAGCUUACCGCUACUCAAAUCAAAUUUUUGGCCCGGUCCGAACGCUCGAUGGGUUGUCCCAGAAAGUAGUCAUGUUUAUAGUUGUUUUAAGUGUUUUUAGAUGUUCCAAAAAUGUUUCAAGUAGCAGAAUUUGCAAAGAUAAUUCCAAACUCAAGUUGUGUGGUUUUACCUUGACUAAGCUAGUUUAUUAAUUUAUAUAAUAUUCUUGGUAUGCUAAAAAUAAUUAAAAUAAACUUUAUGGACUUUAAGAUGAUUGGAAGGACCCCUAAGAAUAUUUUUGGAAUUUUUGAAGGAUUUUUUAUAAUUAAUUGGACUAUAUAAGAGUUAGGGACCCGAGCUAGAGUUUGGACGAUUGGAUUUAGAUUAGGCUUCUUAUAGGCCCUGGAUGAGCAUUGUAAUUGUUGUUGUAGGCUUGAGGCCCUGUCUAGUUAUAGAAGAGACUCUACCAAAAUUUCUGCAAGACCUUAGGAUUUAUUCUUGCUUCUGUAGAUUAAAUUAAUUGGUUAAUUUGUCAGUCAAUUAAUAGAAGUCAUUGUAUUUAUAUAGGUGAUUGGGGCCAGCCGUCUUCUUCUUCUAACCAGACUAGCUAUAGAUGGGUCUUUAGCUUUGUGAGUUGGAUAUUGA